GGCUACAACUGGGAGGAAAGCUCUAAAGUCACCCGAUAUCUCCUUGUCAUUCAGUAUUGAUCUGUAGCCCCUGUCAUUCGUCAGGUUUAUUAUUACAACGGCGAAUGGAAGGAUGAAUAAACUGUUCAUAUUUGAACUCCCCUGCAAUCGCUCAGAGGUUAUUUCGAGUGACUCUGUGAGCUCCGAGAGGAAAAUAAAAUAUUGGCGAUGGUUCGGACACUUGGUUAAGUUUUCCACUAUUUUUGCUGUGUCAACAGUCCCGGAAAAUUAUCGGAAUGGCCAGCUUUAUUUUUAUUACAGUCAUACGAGCAUUGUAGCAUUAAUGCCAAGUAAUAAUAUCCUAGAUUCCAUGUAAGACCUGAGUUUUAUUUCAACUUGAGGAACAAGUUCACUCUCUUGGUUCUAACUGGUGGCCAAAUUCCAUGGACUCCAACUCAUGCGAAAAAAAACUUCUCAAAAAAUGAGCCUAACUGAUAAGAGAAAUCAAAUUUAAACUUCUGACGUAUAAAAAAAUAGUUUUAAACAUUCACUACUGUGAUAAAGAUGUCCUUCGAUUUUUAUAGAGUUAUGCUCGAUAGAAUCUUUUUCGGAAGUUUAAAAAAAAUUAUAAAAUGCAUACUGCCAUGUGGACUCUCAGUAUUCCCUCAUUGAGUUUGUCGGUGUGAAGGAAUUCUUUGAUUGCCUGAUUUAAACGAAAAGGAUUUUUUUUUCCGCCACUUGCAGCAUGUCUUCUGCACUGUGGAUUUGUAUUUGUUUAAUAUCAACUGGAAGUAUUCACGUUGGAAACGCGAUAAAAUAUGGAAUAUUGGCUGACGAGGGUACUUUUCAGUACAUGGUAGCUAUUUUUACCAAAAACGUCUUCACUUGCGGAGGUGCCAUAAUAGAUGCAUCGCACAUUCUCACUGCAGGUCACUGCGUAUUUUGUGCCGAAGCCAACCAAAUGAUAGUAGUAGCAGGAUCAACAAAUGUGGGGUCGGAAUCGAGAGUGUUGCGCGGGGUUGCGACAAUAUAUGUGCAUCAACACUAUAAGGGUAUGGAGACUGAAAAGUUCAACUUUAUGCAGGGAUUAUGCUUAAGAGCUACAUCUAUAAUGAACCUCAGUAUGAAGAAUGAUAUCGCAGUUCUCACACUAGCGGAACCUCUUCCUCUGGGAGGAAACAUUUUCCCAGCUAAAUUACCUGAAACUGAUUUCCUACCCUAUUGUCAAAUGAUGCUUUUUGCCGGAUGGGGUUGGACAAAGGAUGAUAGAAGCGAACCUUUCUUACAAUUUAUGGAUUUUACCAUCGUGCAUCCCGACAUCAAGGUCUUCGCUGAUAACUUCACUGUUGAUGAUGAAUCCCAAUUCGUCGCCAAAAAUCUCAUAGGAGGAAUGAGGCCAGGUUAUGGAGACAGCGGGGGUCCCCUGAUCCACAACAAUGUGAUAUAUGGGGUACUUUCCAGUGCAUGGCCGACUGGCAUAACCUUGUUUACACAGGUGUUCCAUUACCUUGAUUUUAUUAAGAAUGCUUCAGAAGAUUCAUUGUAAACAAUUAUAAUUGCAGUAAAGCUGAGAAAAAUUGAGAA